UACGGAGGAUGCGAGCGUUAUUCGGAUUUAUUGGGUUUAAAGGGUGCGUAGGCGGGCUUUUAAGUCAGCGGUAAAAAUUCGGGGCUCAACCCCGUCCGGCCGUUGAAACUGGGGGCCUUGAGUGGGCGAGAAGUAUGCGGAAUGCGUGGUGUAGCGGUGAAAUGCAUAGAUAUCACGCAGAACUCCGAUAGCGAAGGCAGCUUACCAGACUGCGACCGACGCUGAAGCACGAGAGCGUGGGUAGCGAACAGG
rnacentral:rRNA from 1 species